AGUUAUCGUUUAUUUGAUAGCACCUUACUACUUGGAUAACCGUGGUAAUUCUAGAGCUAAUACAUGCUAAAAAUCCCGACUUCGGAAGGGAUGUAUUUAUUAGAUUAAAGACCAAUGCCUUUCGGCUUUUUGGUGAUUCAUGAUAACUUCUCGAAUCGCAUGGCCUUGCGCCGGCGAUGGUUCAUUCAAAUUUCUUCCCUAUCAACUUUCGAUGCGAAGGUCUUGUCUUCGCAUGGUUACAACGGGUAACGGAGGGUUAGGGCUCGACCCCGGAGAGGGAGCCUGAGAAAUGGCUACCACUUUUAAGGAAGGCAGCAGGCGCGCAAAUUACCCAAUCCCGACACGGGGAGGUAGUGACAAUAAAUACUGAUACAGGGCUCUUAUGGGUCUUGUAAUCGGAAUGAGUACAAUUUAAAUCCCUUAACGAGGAACAAUUGGAGGGCAAGUCUGGUGCCAGCAGCCGCGGUAAUUCCAGCUCCAAUAGCGUAUAUUAAAGUUGUUGUGGUUAAAAAGCUCGUAGUUGAACCUUGGGCCUGGCUGGCCGGUCCCCCUCACCGGGUGCACUGGUCCGGCCGGGUCUUUCCCUCUAUGGAACCUCAUGCUCUUUACUGAGUGUGACGGGGAAAUAGGACUUUUACUUUGAAAAAAUUAGAGUGCUCCAGGCAGGCCUAUGCUCGAAUAGUACAGCAUGGAAUAAUAGAAUAGGACGUGUGGUUCUAUUUUGUUGGUUUCUAGGACCGCCGUAAUGAUUAAUAGGGACAGUCGGGGGCAUCAGUAUUCAGCUGUCAGAGGUGAAAUUCUUGGAUCUGCUGAAGACUAACUACUGCGAAAGCAUUUGCCAAGGAUGUUUUCAUUGAUAAGGAACGAAAGUUAGGGGAUCGAAGACGAUCAGAUACCGUCGUAGUCUUAACCAUAAACUAUGCCGACUAGGGAUCGGACGAUGUUAUUUUUUUGACUCGUUCGGCACCUUUCGAGAAAUCAAAGUG
rnacentral:rRNA from 1 species